rnacentral:lncRNA from 1 species
GGCUUAUAGGCUGUGGUCCGGGUAGUCCGGCGAUGGCUGUCUUACAGCAGAAAAGCCAAGAGUCUGGUAGUUGUUCAGUUCAGGGAACUGGAUGUCUGAGGAAUCCCAAUCUGAUGCCAUUGACCCUGGGAAGUCCUAAUGAGCUGCUGGUCUUCAGAAGUCUAUGUUAGAAUCCAGAAGAGGUUCCUAAUACCUGGGAAAGAAUGAAUGUCUCAGCAGCAGGGGAGAUGAACACUGCAACAAGAAUGUUAAAAAAAAAAAACCAACCAAACAAACAAAACAAAAAACAAAAACAAACAAAAAACCCUCUCACAGGUUUACAGUGUUUCAUUCCACCUCAAAUGAUCCAAUCAAGAAAACCUUUCACAUGGGUUGAGCUGCUUCUGUUUUUAGUUGAUUCCAGAUAUAGUGAACUUGAGGACAGAUUAGCAUCACAUAUACUCCUAAAUUUUUUAAACUCAUCUGAUUUGUCAAUUGAGAGCCAUCUUUCAUCAACUUAAGUAGGAAGUUAUCAAAGCCAAACCACCCUUCCCCAUUCCAGACCUCUCCCAGCUGAGGAUGUUAGGUUAAUGGGACCAGGGGCAGUGAUGCCCAGAGGGAAAUCACACAGGUGGGAGGAAUGCUUUUACUCCUCAAGGAAACCAAAAUAUUUGUCAGUCACCUCUAACACUAGCAGCUUUAUAUUUUUUCUGCUUUCAUCUUUAGAUCAUAGCAGCCCUUCAAGUCAUCAUGUCUUUAUAAAACUGGGUUUUCAGCGAUUGAUGGAUAAAAAGCAAUUGCUAAAGAAAAGUCUCCUUUCGCAGUAGGAAGCUGUACAGUGCUAAACGGGUCCUGAGUUGUUAGGGGGAACCUUAUGAAAUUGUUUGGACCUAACUACUUAUUCAUUGGAACUAUCGGCGAUUUCUUUGGGCAAAGGGAGUCUCGUAAAUAAAAUUGAGACAUCAGAAGCACCAUGAACUGAGCUUGAAAAGCUCUAUGUAAAUGUAUUUAUUUUAUUUAUAUCCUGAAGAUUGAAGCAAGACCAGCCAUGUGAGACGCAGCUUACUGGGUGGGGGAGGGGAGCCGUGACAUCAGGUUCACCUGAGGACACCUGGUUUCCCAGAUCCUUUAUUGUCAUCCAAAGUCACACAGUCUCAGGUACAGUCUAGGUGGCCCACUCUUCUGCUUCUGUAGCUGACCACUGGUAUUAUUGUCACUGUGCAAUGUUAGUGCAGAGUGACACAGAUCUUUAUGAUUUCUAGAAGCCUGGUGGCAAAGUAUGCAAAGGACACUGGCUACCAAGCUAACAUUUUUCAUACUUUAUUUCUUUCUAUCUUGUUAAGUCUUUUUUUUUCCUACUUUUUUUUUUCAAUAACGGAGCUAUUUUAUUACAGACUCAUAAAAAUGAGUAAUGUCAAAAUGCAAACUAAGCUUGAUCUUUUAGUCUCCAAACUACGCAAUUUAAUAUAUUAGCUAACAUAUAUUUUAUAUUUUUAAUUUAAUUACAAACCCAAUGUUUUAAUUGCCUUUAACAUGGUCAAAAUAAACGUCCAGGUGAAGGCAUUAAUACUGUGAGCUGUUGUCACGAUGGCUGGUUUUAUUGCAAUGCACUGCAAGCUUUCAAAUUAACAAAGUGUUUGAGGCAUGUGUUCUACUAUCCCAGCUUCCACUGACAAAGUAAAAGCAUUUCCCAAAACCUUAGAAGAUAUAAGAAGAGAAACAUUUGUCUUAAAUCAGAGAGAAAAGUGCAGUUGGACAAACUAUCUUACGAAUGUCUUAUUUCUAUGUGUUUCUAACCCAUCUCCAGGGGAAUUUGUUUUAACAUUUAACAUACAAGUUUCUUUCUCUCCCCCCACCUUAUCUAUUGAUUGAUUGACUGAUCUGUGUAAUACAUGCUGGCCUUGAAUUCACAGCCAUCAUCCUGACUUAGCCUUCCCAGUUCUGGGAUUAUAGCCAUGCCAGAUUACAAAUGUCUUUAUUUUGCAGGUUUGUAUGAAUGUGUGAGCUUAUGUGUGAGUGUGAUAUAUAUGCACAUAUAUGUACAGGUCCUAUGUGCAUGGGCAGAGACCAGACAACAUCUGGUCCAUCACUCUCUGUAUUAUUUCCUUAGAGAGUGUCUUUCCCUGCAUUGAAAGGGUUAGCAACCUUAAUGAUCCCUGUCCCCCAUUCCCCACAUUGCUGGGUUUGCAGGCAGGCAAUUAGCUGUACCUAGCUGUAUUUAAAUGUGGGUGUUGCGAUCCAUGUGCAGGUCCUCAGUUUUGCACAGAAAGUGGUUGUACCCACUGAACCAACUCUCUCUCUUUUUUAAUCUUCAUACAUAUUAUUUUCCAUAAAUCUUGUAGUGGUGAAAAAAUAACUGAGAAAAAACAGUCACCUAAGAUUUCCUAGGUUGUGGAAAUCUAAAGGAAACUGUGUAGUAAUAAACUAUUUUUAUACGUAAAAUAAAAUAAAAGCCAUAUGACACUGGGCAUUAAGUAAGUCUUUGAAAAAAAGUAAGCACUUGAUUGAAUAAUAAUCCUACCACUUCACUGUUUAUGAAAUGUAACACCUACUUUUUUAUAAAUGUGGAGUAAAAGCUGUUUAAUAAUGAAAAUUAUUAUCUGACACUCCUAUAAGCCAUCAGAUUCCUGCUAGAAAGGCAGCUAGGAUUGUCUUGGUUAAGGAAGAGCUGGGUCAUUUACCAGCGUCCUCUUAAAGGAACGGGAUCUCUGAGAGCAAUAUGUGAAUUAUCACCUAACUAAUGACAGGACAACAUAUACACCAUCUUCAAGGGGAAAAGCCAUCCCAUUAGUCUGGAUGGGGCUUCCAUUUAUCUCAGCCCCAAAGAGAAGAACUAGAGCCAAAACAAUGGCCUCUCCCUGGCCCCUUCAACUUGCAAAGAACAUAUGGUUUGAACAAGCUGUGGACCUGGCGCUGGUGGCACUCACUUUGUUCUCCAAGCCUUACUCACUCUCCUCUAGGCAUUGAAGAGGACAGAGAUUUGAACCCUGCUCCGGUGUAUCACAGGAUGGAAACCUUCUGAACGUUACAGUUUGGUGACCCAUGGUUAGAAAGAGGUAGAUGGUGGCAGGUUUGGAGAAGGCGAGGAGUUGGUUUUUCUAGGAGCCCCCUGGUGGGUGCUUCUCAGCACAUUCUGAGGGAAGGACCGUAAAACUGGCCGGUGUGCUUGACUGAGGCUUACUCUGUUAACUGGCUGAGCAGGAGGAAUAGCAGCUAUGCCAUUUAGGGUGUCAUUUUGAAGGCAACACAGAUCCAUGAAAACAAGAC